rnacentral:rRNA from 1 species
AGUGAACGCUGGCGGUAGGCCUAACACAUGCAAGUCGAACGGCAGCACAGUAAGAGCUUGCUCUUACGGGUGGCGAGUGGCGGACGGGUGAGGAAUACAUCGGAAUCUACUUUUUCGUGGGGGAUAACGUAGGGAAACUUACGCUAAUACCGCAUACGACCUACGGGUGAAAGCAGGGGAUCUUCGGACCUUGCGCGAUUGAAUGAGCCGAUGUCGGAUUAGCUAGUUGGCGGGGUAAAGGCCCACCAAGGCGACGAUCCGUAGCUGGUCUGAGAGGAUGAUUCACCACACUGGAACUGAGAAACGGUCCCAACUCCUACGGGAAGGAGGCGUGGGGAAUUUUGGACAAUUGGGCGAAGGCCGGACCAAGCAUACCGCGUGGGUGAAAGAAGGCUUCCGGUUGUUAAAGCCUUUUGUUGGGGAAGAAAAAGAAGAGGUUUAAUACCCCGCUGUCCGGCGGGUCCCAAAGGAAUAAGCACGGCUUACCUCCGU